rnacentral:rRNA from 1 species
GUGGUUUAAUUCGAAGCAACGCGAAGAACCUUACCUGGUCUUGACAUCCUUCUGACCGGUCCUUAACCGGACCUUUCCUUCGGGACAGGAGUGACAGGUGGUGCAUGGUUGUCGUCAGCUCGUGUCGUGAGAUGUUGGGUUAAGUCCCGCAACGAGCGCAACCCCUAUCUUUAGUAGCCAGCAUUUCAGGUGGGCACUCUAGAGAGACUGCCAGGGAUAACCUGGAGGAAGGUGGGGACGACGUCAAAUCAUCAUGCCCCUUAUGACCAGGGCUACACACGUGCUACAAUGGCGUAAACAGAGGGAAGCAGCCUCGUGAGAGUGAGCAAAUCCCAAAAAUAACGUCUCAGUUCGGAUUGUAGUCUGCAACUCGACUACAUGAAGCUGGAAUCGCUAGUAAUCGCGAAUCAGAAUGUCGCGGUGAAUACGUUCCCGGGUCUUGUACACACCGCCCGUCACACCAUGGGAGUCAGUAACGCCCGAAGUCAGUGACCCAACCGUAAGGAGGGAGCUGCCGAAGGCGGGACCGAUAACUGGGGUGAAGUCGUAACAAGGUAGCCGUAUCGGAAGGUGCGGCUGGAUCACCUCCUUUCUAAGGAA